AAGUCGUAACAAGGUUUCCGUAGGUGAACCUGCGGAAGGAUCAUUAGAAAUAAUCCGGCUUUAGCUGGUAUAAAAUUCUUACCCACCUUGUGUGCAAACAAUGGAAAAGAGAGAAAAUUGGAUUCUUUUUAGUAUCCAACUUCUCUAUAAUUUUUUAUAAACUCCAUCAAAUUUUUUAAUUGAAAACAUUUUUUUUAAAUAAAAAACAUUAUACAACUUUCAACAACGGAUCUCUUGGCUCUC
rnacentral:misc_RNA from 1 species